AGAGUUUGAUCCUGGCUCAGAACGAACGCUGGCGGCAUGCCUAACACAUGCAAGUCGAACGGAGGCCCGGCUUCGGCCGGUCACCUCAGUGGCGGACGGGUGAGUAACGCGUGGGAACCUGCCCUUUAGUCGGGAAUAACAGAGGGAAACUUCUGCUAAUGCCGGAUACGCCCUCCGGGGGAAAGGCUUCGGCCGCUAAAGGAUGGGCCCGCGUCGGAUUAGGUUGUUGGUGGGGUAACGGCUCACCAAGCCGACGAUCCGUAGCUGGUCUGAGAGGAUGAUCAGCCACACUGGGACUGAGACACGGCCCAGACUCCUACGGGAGGCAGCAGUGGGGAAUAUUGGACAAUGGGGGAAACCCUGAUCCAGCAAUGCCGCGUGGGUGAAGAAGGCCUUAGGGUUGUAAAGCCCUUUCACCGGGGAAGAUAAUGACGGUACCCGGAGAAGAAGCCCCGGCUAACUCCGUGCCAGCAGCCGCGGUAAUACGGAGGGGGCUAGCGUUGUUCGGAAUUACUGGGCGUAAAGCGCGCGUAGGCGGUUUGUUAAGUUGGGCGUGAAAGCCCGGGGCUCAACCCCGGAACUGCGCUCAAAACUGAUAGACUCGAGACCGGAAGAGGGUAGCGGAAUUCCCAGUGUAGAGGUGAAAUUC
rnacentral:rRNA from 1 species